rnacentral:tRNA from 1 species
GUCGUUGUGGCGGAAUGGGUAAACGCUAUGGAUGAGUCCUAUUACUGCACUUUGGUGUGGUUGUGCAAGGUUCGAUUCCUUGUCAGCGACU